UUCCGCGGAAACUCUGACAACACUGGCGACUGGCCAUUUCCGGAAAUCAAAGGACAGCCCCAGCACCCGCCUCUGCCAAGUUCCAUCGUGUUUUCUACUAUGUAAAGCAACAUACGAAACUAUUACUUACCAUGGUGGAGGAAAGAUUGUAAUUACCAGAACUCCUGAAAAAACUACCUAAGUCGUUGAAAUGAGAAAACUACAUUAAUGCACAGACAGCAUUUUACUUCACCAACCUAUACCUUUAUAUGAAGAAUCACCAAACGUCUGAGGAAAUCAGAAGCACAAAGAGAAAACUGAUGUGAACUAAUAUUUCAAUGCAUCAUAUAAGAAACUGGUAACUUAAAAUUUCUAGCAUUCAAGAGUAAUAAGACUGUGCAUAUAUAAAAUAAACUGCUGUGAUGGACAA